rnacentral:rRNA from 1 species
UACGUAGGGUGCGAGCGUUAAUCGGAAUUACUGGGCGUAAAGCGUGCGCAGGCGGUUUUGUAAGCCAGAUGUGAAAUCCCCGGGCUUAACCUGGGAAUGGCAUUUGGGACUGCAAGGCUCGAGUGCGGCAGAGGAGACUGGAAUUCCUGGUGUAGCAGUGAAAUGCGUAGAUAUCAGGAGGAACACCGAUGGCGAAGGCAGCUCGCUGGGACGGUACUGACGCUGAGGCGCGAAAGCGUGGGGAGCAAACAGG